rnacentral:rRNA from 1 species
CCUACGGGUGACAGCAGUGAGGAAUAUUGGUCAAUGGCCGGAAGGCUGAACCAGCCAAGCCGCGUGAGGGAGGAAGGCGCAGAGCGUCGCAGACCUCUUUUGCCGGGGGACAAACGGCCGGACUCGUCCGGUCCUGAGGGUCCCCGGAGAAAAAGCAUCGGCUAACUCCGUGCCAGCAGCCGCGGGAAUACGGGGGGUGCAAGCGUGGUCCGGAAUCAUUGGGCGUAAAGGGUUCGUAGGGGGCACGUUAAGUCUGGUGUUAAAGGCGGAAGCUCAACUUCCGUAGGGCACUGGAUACUGGCGAGCGUGAAUGCGGUAGAGGUAAAGGGAAUGCCUGGUGUAGCGGUGAAAUGUGUAGAUAUCAGGAGGAACAUCGGUGGCGUAAGCGCUUUACUGGGCCGUAAUUGACACUGAGGAACGAAAGCCGGGGUAGCAAAUGGGAUUAGAUACCCGGGUAGUC